rnacentral:rRNA from 1 species
UACAGAGGUCUCAAGCGUUGUUCGGAUUCAUUGGGCGUAAAGGGUGCGUAGGCGGCGCGGUAAGUCGGGUGUGAAAUCUCGGAGCUUAACUCCGAAACUGCAUUCGAUACUGCCGUGCUUGAGGACUGGAGAGGAGAACUGGAAUUUACGGUGUAGCGGUGAAAUGCGUAGAUAUCGUAAGGAAGACCAGUGGCGAAGGCGGGUCUCUGGACAGUUCCUGACGCUGAGGCACGAAGGUCAGGGGAGCAAACGGG